UCGAGAAUCUUUCGCAAUGGGCGCAAGCCUGACGAAGCGACGCCGUGUGAGCGAAGAAGGCCUUCGGGUUGUAAAGCUCUUUCGCUAGGGAACAAGAGAGGCGGAUGAAUACUCCGCUGAUUUGAUGGUACUUGGUAAAGAAGCACCGGCUAACUCCGUGCCAGCAGCUGCGGUAAUACGGAGGGUACAAGCAUUGAUCGGAAUUACUGGGCGUAAAGGGCGCGUAGGCGGUUAGGAAAGUCAGAUGUGAAAUUCCGGGGCUCAACCCCGGAGCUGCAUUUGAAACUCUCUAACUAGAGUUCAGCUAGGGAAAAUGGAAUUCCACGUGUAGCGGUGAAAUGCGUAGAUAUGUGGAAGAACACCGGUGGUGAAGAUGAUUUUCUAGGCUGACACUGACGCU
rnacentral:rRNA from 1 species